GUUAUCAGAAUGAGAACUGUAGGAUGGGUGGAGUAGAUCUGUGUCCUUCACAAUUGUGUUCGCCUCCACAAACCCAGUGCACCAAAAAAUAUUCAAACAAUGUGAUUUUGCCACGUAUUACAUGCCAGUGUGGACAUUCAAAGAGCUCGAAGAAUGCCAUUUUCUAUCUAAUGGGUUUAUCUUUUUUUUAUAGUGAUUCUUAUAGUGAUUCUUCUCCAAGACAUGGUAAGAGUGGCGCUCGGUGAAAUUGCAGAAAGAACGGACUGUGUACAUGGAAACCCCCUCUUGGAGGGUGAAGAGAGAGUCUGUGUAACUCAACUCACAAACGGAGAACUUAGACGUGACGGGUAUGACAUUGAGGAGGGUGGAUUUUGUAGUUGGAACCGUUUGGACUUAAGAAAGCAAUAGCAGAGUGCAUGUAUAUUUUUGUAAAGAAUGUGUUUUCACUCCUUUGAACCUCAAAUAUAUAGUAUAGUAUAGUUCUAAGAAGUUCGGAGGGAUCGAAACACACCGAACACCCUGUAGAACACACUCACCAAGUGUUUGCUUGUGCUGAGAGUUAGGGAUCGAAUCACACCGACCAUUCUACUAGAAUGGGCAAUGGAAUGAGCCAUAGAAUUUCAGUAGAAUGGAUGUAUAAUAUAAUUCUACAGCCAUUCUAUUCAUUCAUGGCUGUAGAUAGAUGUAUAAUGGUAGGGUAUAUAUAGAAUGGAUGUAUAAUGGUAGAAUGAGCAGUAGAAUGAGUAACCCUGGUGAGGGUUUGCGUGUCCAAAAGGAUUGAACCACAAUGAACACUUGUAGAACACCCUAAUCAAGUUUUGUAUUGAAUACCAGCACCAGCUCUAGCUCGUACCACUCACGAAAAUGGAGAACGGAACCAGAUGAAAUUCGAACCAACAAGUUCGUUGAGUCCCUGAUCACGUCCGGGAAGUUUAAAAGUGAAUUGUUGGAGGAUUGCGUAUCGGAAGUGAAGACAAUUAAACAAGUGUUGUUAGCUCGUUCAUUUAUUUAAUUGUGUGAUUAUGCUCACUUUAAUAGAGUCUCAAGGUCGUGAAUGUUCCAAGUUGUAAAUGAUCCUUCUUGUAUAUAUGGAUGAACAAUUCAGUGUAGGACGUGGUAGGAUGUAUGAUAGGGUACUUUAGGAUGGAUGGCGAUCUAGCCACCUUAGAGAGUGAUAGCGAGGAGCCAAAUUUUACAGCGUUUCAAAAUAGGAGGCGCAAGAAUAUUGAGGAAUUGAAGGAAACCUUAGGAAACCUUGGGAUUUAAAGCAAGUGUAAAAAAUAAUUGGUAACGUGAACACAUACACACUAUUACAUACACACUAUUACACAUACACACUAUUACAGAUGACACAUGCCACUAACUACAACAACAAGGUAUCAGGUUCUACACGCCCACGAAGUCUAGUGCCUGAAACUACGAGUAGCGGAGGUGAACAGACCAUCAAGAAAGUGACUGCUUUGCAACUACAACAACAAGAUAUCAGGUUCUACAUGCCCACGAAGCCUAGUGCCUGAAACUACGAGUAGCGGGGGUGAACAGACCAUCAAGAAAGUGACUGCCAAAGAAGGGUACACUUACGAGCUAUCAUCAAGCGACUUAGCCCUCGAGCAAUCUGUCUUCACAGCUGGAGAUGGUAGAGAUGGAAAGAAAGAACUUGUGCCGCAAUAUGGGGUGUACGUGUCCUUCGUUGACUUGGACAGUAAAGAGCAGGGCAGUAAAUUGACUGCAACUGGAUUAAUGCGGAGUUUAAUCGGGAUAUGGUAAGGCUAGCCACAAGUUCAGCAUCAAAGGGUAUCAACCAAAGGAUCAGAACAGCAGUAUUUAGUCAGCAGUAUUUAAAUACUGCUUGGAAAAAUACCCUAACUGCUCAGCUGAUAAGUUAAUGCGAGACCUUACAAACGAAGAGAGGAGAUCUAGAUCAAAGUAACAACGAAAGAAACAAUGGCUCUGUAUAAUUAUUAAUUAAUCUUUUGUCCGACAUGUAUGUAUAAUUAUAAUUAUCA